UGAGCCGGUGAGAGCUAGUGUGACCCGGACUGCGGCAGUCCCGCUCUACCCCGGCUCACCCGGCCCUGUCCAUCUGUAAUGAGCGGCGGACACAUCACAGCCGAGUGGCCUCGGGAGCAGCAGCUCAGACUCAACUCUCCGUACAAGGUGAGCACACCGGUGCAGGACCAUUGUCGGUCACCCGGGAAGUCAGACUGUGAUUUCCCGGGAUCACACUGAACGCCGUCCGGUUACAACAUCAGAGUUAGACCUGCGAUGAGCGAUUUAUUGGAAGAAAAACCGCAACUGAAAGGAAACCACGACUGAAGACGAGGGAACAGCAACAAGUGAACCAGCCCGAAGACUGAGAGCAUCAACUGGAGAGAACCCAUCUGACUCAGGGUUUCCAUUGAUUGGGUCAGCAGAAAGUCUGUUAGAUCUGCGCUGAGAGAUUUGUUGGAAGAAAAGCCCAGGACUGGAAGCAAAGAACAACUGAAGACGAGGGAGCAGCAACAUUUGAACGAGAUGAAAACUGAGGACACCUGCUGGAGAGAACCGUUCUGACUCAGAGUUUCCUUUCAUUCAGUCAGGAGAAAGUUUGAUAAUCACCGGCAGGUGGAGCAUUUCUGCACCAGGACCAAAGAGUAAACAAAAAUCAACAACCAGGAAUCGUCAGUCGGAUUCAGAAUGGC